AUGAGAAGUAUCCAAGGUAUGUAUGGUUGACGGUCUUUUGACUAAAAACUUUUAUGCUCACUUACUAUGCUACUUUCGAUUACAAAUGGACACGGUGUGAGUUGAUUUUCACAUCUUUCCCACAGACUCAGUAAGCUCUUGUCUGAUCUAAUGGAUGGGAGUCGUAUCUUGAUAUUCUUCCAAACAAAAAAGGAUUGCAAUAAGAUCACUCGACAGCUUAGAAUUGAUGGGUGGCCAGCAUUAUCUAUACAUGGUGAUAAAGCUCAAGCUGAACGGGACUAUGUUCUUGCAGAGUUUAAGAGCGGCAAGAGCCCCAUAAUGGCUGCCACAGGUGUGGCAGCACGUGGUCUUGAUAUGAUGAUUUAUUUGAAUAUUAGGAUUAGGUAGUAGUUCCAAGUGCUCAAGGAUGAUAAGUCGGAGGGUUGUUGAGCUGCGAUUGCUUGAGUGAACUGAACUUGUGGAUUGGUGGUGUAUACCAAGGUGCCAUCAUGUCAAAGGUAGAUAAUUUCCCCCCGUGGUUUACCUCAUUUGAGCGUGAGCAUUGGCAGUGUUACACAUGCAGCUCAACUUUGAGCUAUCAUGGUAAUGUUCCCUUUCCGAAAAAAGUAGCAUGCAACCGAAUAUGCAUUUCACACUAUAGUUGAUUUCUUAGCUUGAUUUGAAUUCCUUGAUCCCUUCAUAUCUGACCAUUUUGGAACAUUUAGGUAUUGUGUUGCUGCCCUCUUCAUUCAUUCUUUGUCCUUGUAAUUGAAUUCUUUUCAAUCCAAUAGUCUGCUUUUUCUUGCAAGUAUUUUUGGCUUACCUUUCUACAUUUUCUUUGUAAAUCCAUGUUUAAUUUGUUUAGAAUUA